UACGUAGGGGGCAAGCGUUGUCCGGAUUUAUUGGGCGUAAAGAGCGUGUAGGCGGCCAUGUAGGUCCGUUGUGAAAACUCGAGGCUCAACCUCGAGACGCCGAUGGAAACCAUGUGGCUAGAGUCCGGAAGAGGAGAGUGGAAUUCCUGGUGUAGCGGUAAAAUGCGCAGAUAUCAGGAAGAACACCCGUGGCUAAGGCGGCUCUCUAGUACGGUACUGACGCUGAGACGCGAAAGCGUGGGGAGCGAACAGG
rnacentral:rRNA from 1 species